rnacentral:rRNA from 1 species
AACGAACGCUGGCGGCAUGCCUAACACAUGCAAGUCGAACGGGAUCCAGCCUUCGGGUUGGUGAGAGUGGCGGACGGGUGAGUAACGCGUGGGAACCUGCCCAUUGGUCUGGGAUAACUGCGGGAAACUGCAGCUAAUACCGGAUGUACCCGAGAGGGGAAAGAUUUAUCGCCGAUGGAGGGGCCCGCGUCAGAUUAGGUAGUUGGUGAGGUAACGGCUCACCAAGCCUACGAUCUGUAGCUGGUCUGAGAGGAUGAUCAGCCACACUGGGACUGAGAUACGGCCCAGACUCCUACGGGAGGCAGCAGUGGGGAAUAUUGGACAAUGGGGGGCAACCCUGAUCCAGCAAUGCCGCGUGAGUGAUGAAGGCCUUAGGGUUGUAAAGCUCUUUUACCAGGGACGAUGAUGACGGUACCUGGAGAAUAAGCCCCCGGCUAACUUCGUGCCAGCAGCCGCGGU